GACGAACGCUGGCGGCGUGCUUAACACAUGCAAGUCGAACGGAAAGGCCCUGCUUUUGUGGGGUGCUCGAGUGGCGAACGGGUGAGUAACACGUGAGUAACCUGCCCUUGACUUUGGGAUAACUUCAGGAAACUGGGGCUAAUACCGGAUAGGAGCUCCUGCUGCAUGGUGGGGGUUGGAAAGUUUCGGCGGUUGGGGAUGGACUCGCGGCUUAUCAGCUUGUUGGUGGGGUAGUGGCUUACCAAGGCUUUGACGGGUAGCCGGCCUGAGAGGGUGACCGGCGACAAUGGGACUGAGAUACGGACCAGACUCCUACGGGAGGCAGCAGUGGGGAAUAUUGCACAAUGGGCGGAAGCCUGAUGCAGCAACGCCGGGUGCGGGAUGACGGCCUUCGGGUUGUAAACCGCUUUCGCCUGUGACGAAGCGUGAGUGACGGUAAUGGGUAAAGAAGCACCGGCUAACUACGUG
rnacentral:rRNA from 1 species